UCUCGGCGGCGGGCGCGCACCGCUGACGGCGGGUCCCGCCCCGCCCGCCUCCCCGCGAAAUGGCGGCAGCGGCCGGAUCUAGGUCCGCCCGCUGACGCGGCGGCGCGGUGUUCCUCCGCGCGUCAGCUGUGUGUCAGCGCCGCGGAGGGGCCGCCGGCCGCCCGCUCGCCUGCCCGCGACCCCGUGGGGGAGCGGGGCUCGGCCGGCCUGGAGCCGGGGAAGAGCCCGCGCUCCCACGGGCACGGAGCAAGGCCCCAGAGCCGUGGGGUUUGCGCCCUCGGCCGCGGUGCGAGUGACGAAGCUAAAGAAGAUCUGCUCUUGCCCAGGAACACCGCAGGCCUGUUGUGAGGGUAACGGGCCUAAACGCUUCCUUUUAGUGUCAUAUCGGUGCACACGAGGAUACGAACCAAGUGUCUCAGUAUAUUGAGAAAAACAUCGCCAAAGGGAAGAUACUGUGAUGUGGACUGUUAGUACAAGGGCCAUCAGAGAAAAUCAUGUAAUCAUCAAAAUUGGAAGUGACCUUUAAAAUCAUAAAGUCCAAUUUUAUCACGUGGCAAUACUUCUGUAACCCCUAAACCAUAUCAGCCAGUGCCAGUUACAGACACUUCUUAAGCAUCUCCAGGAACGGUGGCUACCACCUUCCUCGGCAACCUAUUCCAAUGCCUGACCACCUGAACACUGAAAAAAAUUAUUCUUAUAUCUAAUUUGAAGCUACCCUGUUUCACCUUAACCUAGUCUCCUCACAGCAGGCAGUCUCGAAAUGACUGACCCCACCUCACAACAACCUUUUAGGUAGCUCUAGAGUGAUGAAGAAUAAUUAUUUUAUUUACAGUGAUACCAUUUGUGACACUUCAAGCUCCUUGGAGGCUUUUUAUUCUGUGCAGCACGGGCCAACAGAUGACUCUCUCCCGGGUGGGUUUUUUCCCCACAGUAAUAAAUUGUGCAGUUCUAUGCAUAGUUCUCUACAUGGGGAAGGACUCCUACUCCAUUUCUGUGAAACAAGAAGAGAAAGAUUGCCUGGCUGCCCUUUUGCUGUAAUGAUGGGAUGUAUUAGAGUGACAAACAUGGCAUUUGCUGUCCGGGGGGAUGUCCACAAAAUUGCACUGGACUCAGUUUGUGUUCGUUGUAGUGCUGUAGUGUUAGUUGUCUUGCUGUCUAAUUAUUAUUAGAGGAGGCAGAAUAUUCAGAAAAGCUUACUGUGCAACAACAUUUUCAGUAUGAAGCUUGACAAUAGGCAGCAGUGAAUUAGGGGAGCAGUGGGGGGUUUUUAUUACUUUUAAAAGUAGCACUGAGGUCGGACUACAUAGUUUUUUAACACUGAUAUUUACAGGCUAAAGAGAAAACAAUGCCUUGUACUUGUAAAGUCAAGUUAUCUUACUAUGAUCUCCUAAACCAAUCCUAGCAACUUCUUUAUGUAGUCUUCAUUUUCUGGUUAUUUUUUUAAUUGUACUGAACAGCAUGUUCAGAAAGUGUAAUUCCAAACUAUUUGAUUCUCAUUCUUAUCAUCUUAGUCAGAAUAUUGCUGAAGAACACCUUGCUGUUCCUCCUUUGGAUUAGGGAUGCUAUUAAACUGCUCCAAAUCACCAGCGUGUCUAUCUUUGCACUGCAGACAUCUUCCUCUGCCUUGUAAAUUGCUCACAAACUUUCUGAGCUUCAUUAUUGUUUGUCAUCUCGGGAGAUUUAGAUACAUGGCAGUAUUCCAGUUCUACAUUUUGUAAUUAUUAUUUGAGAUUAAUGGCCUCUAAUAUGACUUUAUAUUAACAUAUUUGAUCAGACUUGUGAUUCACAUUUUCUGUAUAAUGAAAGAAAUUAACAACACAAACAUACUGUUGACAGUGUGUAAUUUUCCCUGCUAAUUUAAGACAACAGGAAUUGUUAAUCCGGUAAAUCAAGUUUUGUUAUGUGUUAAAUUCAAUACCUCUAUUAGCAUUUGACCCCAAAGACAAUAAAAAAUAUAUUGGAUAUCUCUUGUUUAUAGCAAUUGCUCAGAAACAGAUUUGCAAAUUUUCGUUUAGUAUUCUUGUUUAGGCAAACACUUUAUUGCACUCACUGGUCAUUUUAUAAAAACAGAUCUGCCUCUUUCAAUACUGACCUUUAAACGCACUUCAGAAAAAUAAUAAAUUAUGGCUUGUGUAGGAAUGAAAAGCAAGACAUGUAGUCACAGUUCUGUCACCAGUUCUGCAAGUCACAGCAGACUUGAACUUCCAAGUUCUUCUUGGAGAACAUUAUACUUUUCACUCUCACCUUUUCCUCAAAUUGUGAUGUAAAAAUCAUGUAUUUUCUCCUCAGUAUGUGGAAAUAAAUGAAACGAAAUAGUUUUUCACUUCACUAGGAAUAUUGGGGCAAGUAAGGCCUCAAAACCUGAAUCUGUUGAUGUGCCCAUACAGAGAGUUUCUCAGUUUUACCAGACACAGCAUGUAUAUUCUUUUGCAUAGAUUCCUCAUAUGCUAAUAUAAAAUGCAAGAGGCACAGAUGCUGGUUACUGAAUGAGGGUGUUGCAACUCAUUGUGGAACUAUUUGUGUUUGCUUCAUUUUAAUUUGAUUUUUGAAGCUAAUCCUCAGAAGUGGCUGUAGAGAGGUAUUACCAUGUCUAAUCCUCCACAGUAGUGGAGUCGGUUUGGACUUUUAGAGGUUUAUUAUGUAAAAUAGCUCAGUAGAUGUGGCCCGGUAAUAAAGAGUUUGCACAGAAAUACUGAGAGCAGACCAGCUCUCUUGAACCCUGUCUUUGAAUUUUGUUUUUUCAAGUAUGGUGUCCCAGAGCCCUCUGUGGCCAAGUGAUCAACAGCCUCCAAAGGCUGGAUUCACCAUCCAUUUCAUCUGCUUCCUGAUGGUCCAACAGAGAAAUGGAUGGCCCAGCUAUGAAUGGAGGCUGCCUUGUUUGAUUGUUAUAGCACUGCUGCUCAGGGACUGGAGGGAAAAGCAGCCCAGCCUUUUAGUUUUAAGGUUACCAUAGGUUACUUGUACCUCAGUGCUGGUUUUUCACUUCCACUUGCCUGAGACCAGCCAGUUUUAUAUUUGGAGCAUGCUAUUCCACUUGCCUUCAAAACAGGUGGAGCAACCAAGCAUCCUGGACACCAAGCAGCAUUCCAUACAGGAUGCUUCAUAUAUCAGAGAGGAAAGGGGGAAACAAGAUGCAAAUGUUUCCAAAAAAGGAUCUUCCAUUUAAGGAGAGGAAAAAAAAAAUACUUCAACAAAAGCAAGAUAUCCAUCUAGUCCAUCCAAUAGAUUACUGUUAGUGCCUGUUUGGAGCACCUCAGCUCAUGCUGCUGGAAAACAAAGUACUAAGAUGAACAACAACAACAACAAUAGCAGCAGCUUCUCUCUGUUUGCAUGUAUUACCAGGCCUCAAUUUUCUCUUCACCAUCCUGUCCAACUUGUUUUUCCUUUAAUUACUGUAAAUCAAGCUUGCAGCCAAAUCCUUCUUUAAUCUGAGCAAAACUCACCUUAUUUAGGACCCUUUUGAUUCAGUGGAUACCACAAAGAAUAAGAUCACAGGGAAAAGCUGAUAAAAUAAGAUUGUUUCAUUGGCCUUUUUUUUUUUUUAACAACAAAAAAAGGCUGAAUUUGCCAAGCGCCAUUACAGACAGAGGAAAAAAACAGGUUUGGAGAUCCACUUGAUCUGUUUUAAAUGCCAGAGAUCAGCAGGCCUUUCUGUAUAGCUAGGGCCUUCUCCCCUUCAGUAAAGAUGACAAGGUCACAGUUACAAACCUUGUAGUGCAUCCCUGGCUGUUUCAUCUGGGACCAUUAUGUCUCCUGUUAGGAAGAAGAGGUAGCAACCCCCUUUCACAUGUGGAGUGGAGCCUGAGGUCAGUGUGUUAGGCAGAAGUCAGCUUUUUAAGAAAUACUAGAUAAAAGGUAACUUCCUUGAUAUUCCAACUUGGCCAAUUCUUCAUCUCCCAUUGUUUCUUCAACAGCUUGUCUGACAUUUUCACUGAAACAAUUCCCAAGCUAAUCCACAUUUCCUUUGAAUUAGAAGUGCUUUGUGUCUCACUUCUAGGUCAUGGAGCAAAAUGCUGAGUCCCUGCAUCAAUACAUUUUAAGUUGUUGCAGCUUUGUGUAGGGAGUUGGAAAACCUAGUGUUUAAGUCUACAUAUGACUCCCAGCAAAAACCUGGAGUGUUUGUGCACUCAUGUGGGAUUCACAAGAGCAUGGAACACUGCAGUAACCUACACUAAGAUAAAUAGACUGAAGUCCUCACAAAAGCUGGUCUUCAGGACUUUGUUUCGCACUUCGUUUGGCACUUUUUUAUCUUCAUAGUGACAACGUACUUUUCUUUCAGUUGAAGAUUUUUCUCCUCUCUUGAAAUCCUUCCAGAAAAUAAGACCUAUUUUACAAGAAUAAACAUAUGACAAGAUAAAAUUCUUUAUAUGAUUUUCACAGACCUAAGCAACAGAAUCUCUGAAAAUUGCUACAGGUUAUUUAUUAGUAUGCAUACAGAGUAUUCCUCCUUUUUUUCCCAGCAAAACUACCAUUUGAUCUAGAUGAAAAAUAUAUCCCUGUCAAGUCACCAGCAGUUUUUGUCAACAAGAAUGUUCAUUUUCUCUGCUGAUUCAGCUCUAUGGCUAUUGAAGCAUGAAAGUCAGAUGAGCAUGUGCAUGGUGUAAUUAUGAUGCCAAAUUUGAAAACCGAAAAUUUUUGUUGUCAUGCAGCUACUAACUAUCUCUGUUUCCUUCUUUUGUAUGAAUUCUUUACAUGCCUGAAUAAACAAAGAUAAUAUAAACAUACAUGGCAAAAUAGCAGGGGUGUGAAGGGCUAAGCAAUUAUCCACUGUUGCUAAAAUUCAGCAGGCAAAACCCCUCUCUGGAGCAACUCAGGAGUUUUAUCAGUUUCAGGAGGCCAGGGUACAUCAGUUGGAGACCUUGUCAAAGAGAUGUCUAAUGGUGACCUACUUUACCCUAUCCCUUUGGAGGUAGCUGCUUUUCCUUGUUAUACCUGUUUUUUGUCCCCUCAGGCUGCCUUCAGACUGCGAGCUAAGUCUGUACGGGUUACACUGUUACUGAAAAUGACCAAGCUCUUAACAGCAGUUUUCAGCAGUAGGUAACCACAAUGUAUCCAAGAGCUUACUUAGACCUCAAAUAUCCAGGACUGCUGUAAUCUAUGACUUUCAGACUGAUAUGCCAGACCCAUCUGUGACUCGUGUCAGCUGGUCCCUACGCAGCAGGAGGGGCACAGGCAGAGCAAUUCCUCCCUGCACCAUGUGCAGAUGGACUUGCACUGUGCUGAGUGCAGCACUGAUCAAAGGCAGCACAGCAGGGCUCGGGAGCUUCCCCGAAAUGUCAGCUGUGCUCCCAGCAUCCAGAGAAGGCUGGAAGAGAAGAAGAAUGUGGGGAGGAGGAGGGUUGGACAGGUUCUCAACUUGAGUGUGAAGUUGUUUGAUUUAAGACUGGAGUAUUUACCUUAUGGAUUCUUCCCUUGAAAGUCUCACAAAGGAGGUCACAUCGCAACAUCUGAUGUAUAAUCUUUACAGGAAUAACCAAGUGUUUUACUCUUUCAUCACUUGUCUAAUAGUCGGCAUCUGCCUAGACAAGAAGGAAUCAUCUUAGGACAUCAGACACAGUCAUUACAGGGAUAAAUUUAAGUGAGGUAGGGAACUUAGAUACUCUGAGAUCACAGGAAUCUUCCCACCAGCUAAAGAUGAUGAUUUAUCAGGAAAUGUUAAGGGUCACAUGUAGAAAAGUAAUAAGCCAGAAGAACAAAUAAAUUGGAUUUAUCCUAAACUUAGCUUCCAGUAUUUUCCAGAAGGAGAAAUGCACAGCUGAUAUGGGCAGAUAUGGUGGGAUUUCAGUAUGCUGAGGGAGGAGAGAGAACUGUGCUUUGGUCAGGAUCAUGUAAAGAAGGAGAGAGGUCUUGUAGGAUUGUGCUGCUUCAGCUUUCCUGCUUGCGCUCUGUGCUAUACACUACUAGCACUUGACAGAUUCACUUAUGGUAGCAAAGCACAUUGAACCAAAUGGUGUUGUCGUGACCAAGGGAUUAAUGUUAGAGUCUCCAGGUCUGGAUGGAUUGUCUCAAUUGACCCAGAACGGCUACAUGCUUCCCACUUUUUCAUCUGCCUAUACAGGGAGGAUUUUCUUUGCCAAAAAAUGACCAGUCUUCUAGACAUAACAAUAAAAUAAAGUGAAAAUGGCCUCCCCCUGUAACUUUAUA